rnacentral:tRNA from 1 species
GGGGGUGUAGCGUAGCCCGGUUAUCGCGCACGUUUGGGACGUGGAGGCCGCAGGUUCGAAUCCUGCCACCCCCG